AGAGUUUGAUCCUGGCUCAGGACGAACGCUGGCGGCGUGCCUAAUACAUGCAAGUCGAACGCUUCUUUUCUACCGAGUGCUUGCACUCACUUGAAAAGAGGAGUGGCGGACGGGUGAGUAACACGUGGGUAACCUACCCAUCAGAGGGGGAUAACACUUGGAAACAGGUGCUAAUACCGCAUAAUAGUCGACAUCGCAUGGUGUUGAUUUGAAAGACGCUUUCGGGUGUCACUGAUGGAUGGACCCGCGGUGCAUUAGCUAGUUGGUGAGGUAACGGCUCACCAAGGCCAUGAUGCAUAGCCGACCUGAGAGGGUGAUCGGCUACACUGGGACUGAGACACGGCCCAGACUCCUACGGGAGGCAGCAGUAGGGAAUCUUCGGCAAUGGACGAAAGUCUGACCGAGCAACGCCGCGUGAGUGAAGAAGGUUUUCGGAUCGUAAAACUCUGUUGUUAGAGAAGAACAAGUAGGAGAGUAACUGCUCUUACCUUGACGGUAUCUAACUAGAAAGCUACGGCUAACUACGUGCCAGCAGCCGCGGUAAUACGUAGGUGGGCAAGCGUUGUCCGGAUUUAUUGGGCGUAAAGCGAGCGCAGCGGUUUUCUUAAGUCUGAUGUGAGAGCCUCCCGGCUCAACCGGGGAGGGUCAUUGGAAACUGGGAGACUUGAGUGCAGAAGAGGAGAGUGGAAUUUCCAUGUGUAGCGGUGAAAUGCGUAGAUAUAUGGA
rnacentral:rRNA from 1 species